CCAAGAACUCGUGCGCUGCCUGGACCUCUAGCUUUUCGCCCUACACGCAGACGCCCUCUGCAAAACCCCAGUCCCGCAGACUUUCCCUAGCGGCGGGCGGAGGGCAUGAACCUGGAAAGGGAGGCAACAGCCCUCUUGGCAGGCGGGCAAAGAGCCUCCUCCGAUUUGAAACUCAGCAGCUGUUUUAACAAUUGAAAAAGCGGCCCUACAGGACCAGUGAAACGGAGCAGAGUGUGUGAAGCCAUUAAGGCUGACUAGGUGAGACAAUGAGGUGAGAAAAGUCCUCAUUGUAUCUCCACUUAGGAGAUACGAUCUAGAGCAGAUCCCUGGGUCAUUCAUUAACAAAGCUUACGAAGUCCCUGCUGUGUACCAGGUGAGAAAACGGAGGUUUAUGGCCAUCAGUGGCUGAGCAGGGAUCGGAGUCUCAUUCUGUCAAACUCUAAAGCCUGCGUUCUGAACCAACUCAAGCUGCCCCAGGAUAUUCCUUGGAGCCUCUAUCAACUAAUUUCACAGAUUCUUUUUUUUUCCUUUUUGCUGCUGUCAUGUUAAUGGGCAUUAUUUAAAAAGGGAUCUUACCACAGAAUUUGAUUUGGUGUCUCCUUGUUGACACCAUAUAAGAGCAAAUCUAACCACAUGUAGUGUUUUCACAAAAGUGUACCUAUCCAUCAAUUCUAGCCACAAACCUCUAAGGUCAGAAAUCUCAAAGAUUAAGCCAGAGGGAGGUGGAA
rnacentral:lncRNA from 1 species